AGAGUUUGAUCCUGGCUCAGGACGAACGCUGGCGGCGUGCUUAACACAUGCAAGUCGAACGGAAAGGCCCUUCGGGGUACUCGAGUGGCGAACGGGUGAGUAACACGUGGGUGAUCUGCCCUGCACUUUGGGAUAAGCCUGGGAAACUGGGUCUAAUACCGAAUAUGACCAUGCACUUCCUGGUGUGUGGUGGAAAGCUUUUGCGGUGUGGGAUGGGCCCGCGGCCUAUCAGCUUGUUGGUGGGGUAAUGGCCUACCAAGGCGACGACGGGUAGCCGGCCUGAGAGGGUGACCGGCCACACUGGGACUGAGAUACGGCCCAGACUCCUACGGGAGGCAGCAGUGGGGAAUAUUGCACAAUGGGCGCAAGCCUGAUGCAGCGACGCCGCGUGAGGGAUGACGGCCUUCGGGUUGUAAACCUCUUUCAGCACAGACGAAGCGCAAGUGACGGUAUGUGCAGGAGAAGGGCCGGCCAACUACGUGCCAGCAGCCGCGGUAAUACGUAGGGUCCGAGCGUUGUCCGGAAUUACUGGGCGUAAAGAGCUCGUAGGUGGUUUGUCGCGUUGUUCGUGAAAACUCACAGCUUAACUGUGGGCGUGCGGGCGAUACGGGCAGACUUGAGUACUGCAGGGGAGACUGGAAUUCCUGGUGUAGCGGUGGAAUGCGCAGAUAUCAGGAGGAACACCGGUGGCGAAGGCGGGUCUCUGGGCAGUAACUGACGCUGAGGAGCGAAAGCGUGGGGAGCGAACAGGAUUAGAUACCCUGGUAGUCC
rnacentral:rRNA from 1 species